CGUCAGGUAACUCAGUGGUUUAGAGCAGUCGCCUGGCAAGCGAAAGACCCGGGUUCGAUUCCCGGUCUAGCGA
rnacentral:tRNA from 1 species